rnacentral:rRNA from 1 species
CCCCUAGACGUUCUGGGCCGCACGCGUGCUACACUGAGUGGAUCAGCGGGUCAGGUUGCGCGAAAGCGUUUCCUAAUCUUUAAAUCCGCUCGUGAUGGGGAUUGACGGUUGCAAUUUUCUGUCAUGAACGAGGAAUACCUUGUAAGCGCGGGUCAUCAUCCCGCGCUGAAUACGUCCCUGCCCUUUGUACACACCGCCCGUCGCUCCUACCGAUUGAGUGGUCCGGUGAGGCUUUGGGAUCUGAGCGGAAAGAGCGUUUCGCUGUUUCUGCUCGGAAAACUCAGUCGAACCUUAUCAUUUAGAGGAAGGAGAAGUCGUAACA